rnacentral:SRP_RNA from 1 species
GCCGGGCGUGGUGGUGCACACCUGUAAUCCCAGCUACUCGGGAGGCUGAGGCAGCAGAAUUGCUUGAACCCAGGAGACAGAGGUUGCAGUGAGCUGAGAUCAUGCCACUGCACUCCAGCCUGGGUGACAAAGCAAUACUCUGUCUAAA